CCUACGGGUGGCAGCAGUGGGGAAUAUUGCACAAUGGGGGAAACCCUGAUGCAGCGACGCCGCGUGAGCGAUGAAGUAUUUCGGUAUGUAAAGCCCUAUCAGCAGGGAAGAAGGUGACGGUACCUGACUAAGAAGCCCCGGCUAACUACGUGCCAGCAGCCGCGGUAAUACGUAGGGGGCAAGCGUUAUCCGGAUUUACUGGGUGUAAAGGGAGCGUAGACGGCAGUGCAAGCCAGAAGUGAAAGCCCGGGGCUCAACCCCGGGACUGCAUUUGGAACUGUGUGGCUGGAGUGUAGGAGAGGCAAGCGGAAUUCCUAGUGUAGCGGUGAAAUGCGUAGAUAUUAGGAGGAACACCAGUGGCGAAGGCGGCCUGCUGGACGAUGACUGACGUUGAGGCUCGAAGGCGUGGGGAGCAAACAGGAUUAGAUACCCCUGUAGUC
rnacentral:rRNA from 1 species